CCUACGGGUGGCUGCAGUGGGGAAUAUUGGACAAUGGGGGGAACCCUGAUCCAGCCAUGCCGCGUGUGUGAAGAAGGCCCUCGGGUUGUAAAGCACUUUCAGUGAGGAAGAACGCCUGGUGGUUAAUACCCAUCAGGAAAGACAUCACUCACAGAAGAAGCACCGGCUAACUCCGUGCCAGCAGCCGCGGUAAUACGGAGGGUGCGAGCGUUAAUCGGAAUUACUGGGCGUAAAGCGCGCGUAGGUGGCUUGAUAAGCCGGUUGUGAAAGCCCCGGGCUCAACCUGGGAACGGCAUCCGGAACUGUCAAGCUAGAGUGCAGGAGAGGAAGGUAGAAUUCCCUGUGUAGCGGUGAAAUGCGUAGAGAUCGGGAGGAAUACCAGUGGCGAAGGCGGCCUUCUGGACUGACACUGACACUGAGGUGCGAAAGCGUGGGUAGCAAACAGGAUUAGAUACCCUUGUAGUC
rnacentral:rRNA from 1 species